rnacentral:tRNA from 1 species
UAUGAGGUGGUCGAUUUAAGUCGGUAGAUUGUAAAUCUAUGAAUGAGUAUAUACUUUCUCAUAA